rnacentral:rRNA from 1 species
UACAUGGGGUGCAAACGUUGCUCGGAAUUAUUGGGCGUAAAGCGCGCGUAGGCGGUUACUCAAGUCGGAUGUGAAAGCCCUCGGCUUAACUGAGGAAGUGCACCCGAAACUGAGUAGCUAGAGUACUAAAGAGGGUCGCGGAAUUCCCGGUGUAGAGGUGAAAUUCGUAGAUAUCAGGAGGAACACCGGUGGUGUAGACGGCUUACUGGACCACGACUGACACUGAGGCACGAAAGCGUGGGUAGCAAACAGG